rnacentral:rRNA from 1 species
AGUGAACGCUGGCGGUAGGCCUAACACAUGCAAGUCGAACGGCAGCACAGUAAGAGCUUGCUCUUACGGGUGGCGAGUGGCGGACGGGUGAGGAAUACAUCGGAAUCUACUUUUUCGUGGGGGAUAACGUAGGGAAACUUACGCUAAUACCGCAUACGACCUACGGGUGAAAGCAGGGGAUCUUCGGACCUUGCGCGAUUGAAUGAGCCGAUGUCGGAUUAGCUAGUUGGCGGGGUAAAGGCCCACCAAGGCGACGAUCCGUAGCUGGUCUGAGAGGAUGAUCGGCCACACUGAACCUAGGACACGGUCCGAAUUCCUAGGGAAGGCGCAAGUGGGAAUAUUUGGACAAUGGGUGAAGCCCUAACCAGGCCAUACCGGGUGGGUAAAGAAGGCCUUCGGGUGGUAAAGCCCUUUUGUUGGGAAAAAAAAGCGGCGGGUUAAUACCCCGCUGUUCUGACGGUACCAAAAAAAUAGCACCGGCUAACUUCGUG